GACGAACGCUGGCGGCGUGCCUAAUACAUGCAAGUUGAGCGCUGAAGGUUGGUACUUGUACCAACUGGAUGAGCAGCGAACGGGUGAGUAACGCGUGGGGAAUCCGCCUUUGAGCGGGGGACAACAUUUGGAAACGAAUGCUAAUACCGCAUAAAAACUUUAAACACAAGUUUUAAGUUUGAAAGAUGCAAUUGCAUCACUCAAAGAUGAUCCCGCGUUGUAUUAGCUAGUUGGUGAGGUAAAGGCUCACCAAGGCGAUGAUACAUAGCCGACCUGAGAGGGUGAUCGGCCACAUUGGGACUGAGACACGGCCCAAACUCCUACGGGAGGCAGCAGUAGGGAAUCUUCGGCAAUGGACGAAAGUCUGACCGAGCAACGCCGCGUGAGGGAAGAAGGGUUUCGGAUCGUAAAACUCGGUUGGUAGAGAAGAACGUUGGUGAGAGUGGAAAGCUCAUCAAGUGACGGUAACUACCCAGAAAGGGACGGCUAACUACGUG
rnacentral:rRNA from 1 species